CCGGCCUCGGCUCCCGCCCGCACCUGCCGAGGCGCCCCCCCGCCCUCGCCUCCCGGCCCGAGUCGUCGCCCGCGGGGAUGCGGGGAUGCGGGGCCCUCGGGUGUCCGGCCCCGUGGGACCCAGGAAAUUCAACAAAAAUCCCCUACCCCUGCACUAGCAGAGCGGGAUAACUCCCUGUUGUGCGGCGCCCGCCCUCUCCGCGUGACCCGCCGUGACCUGCUCAGAGCUCAGGGCGCCCCCACCCUGGCCCGGCCGCCCAGCACACCCUUCCCGGAAGCCCGCCCUGUGCCCGCCGAAACCGCGCGCCAAUUCCGACCCGAGCCCAGAGCCAUAGGCCAGUUCAAGCGGUCGCUGUGGGGUGAGUCGGGAUUCCAUUGGCCCCUACGAAGCUGCUACGCCUCUAGCCCCGGCGCCCAAGGCCCUGCCCCGCCGCGUCCCGUGCGCUUGGACCCAGGCUCCAGCUUGUAAAUAAACCCUCGUGGGUUUGCAUCGGUGUCGGCUCCUCGGUGGUUUCUCGGGUUCGCGAUCUUGGGCGCGACAUUUGGGGGCUGGCCCGGGAUCCGAGGGACCCCCCAGGACCCCAUCCGGAGGGUCCCACGCGUGGUGUGGCCUAAGCUGAGGGCCCUCUGCGAGACUGGGCCACCCCUGGACUCCCAUCGGUAUCGACCAGGUGACUGGGUGUAUGUGCGGAGACACCAACACCAGACGCUCCAACCCCGCUGGAAGGGACCCUACAUCGAGAUCCUGACCGCUCCCACCGCUCUCAAGGUCGACGGGAUUACUCCCUGGGUCGACUACACCCACGUCCGGCCAGCUGACCCACACGCCGUCCUCAAGGACUUUGUUCCGGAAUGGAAGAGUCAGCCCGACAAGGACAAUCCCCUAAAGCUAAGGCUGCGUCGCUCCCACUUACCCCACUAGUAUUACUUGCACUGUAUCCCCUUGCGGCUAAAACUAACCCCCACCAGCCACUAAAUCUAACCUGGCAAAUCCUCACCCCGAGUUCUAUGGAAAUAAUAACCCAGCUGACAGGAAUACACCCUAGGGGAACCUGGUGGCCCAAUCUAACCUUUGACUUAUGCGACCCAAAACUUUUCGGGGUCCACCACGGCCCCUCGGCUCUCCAUGGCCGAAUACCCGGAUGUGUCGGCAGGUGGAGCUUAAGCUCCCUCCGUGCCACCUGCUUUUAUGCAUGCCCGGCCCCCUCUCUGUCUGACCAUAAUAAGGUCUCCAGAUGUGGAGGCCCCGAGGAUUACUUCUGUAAAGCAUGGGGUUGUGAACAGACUGGGACAUGUCAUUGGCUGUCACAGAAUCCGACCGGCCUUAUAAAAAUCCAGCGAAAAGCCACGAGCCCCACAUGCUCGGGCGCUGGGAAGUCAGGCCGCUAUCUCUGUAAUCAAGUCACCAUUUCCUUCACAGAGGCCGGAAAACGAGAUACAAAUUGGGGGGUAGGACUUCUCUGGGGACUCCGACUUUACCAAAGCGGGUAUGAUAAUGGAGUCCUAUUCAUGAUCAGACAAGUCGAGAAGCCGCAAGGUCAAACCCAAGGGAUAGGCCCCGACCCUGUGCUAGUGCCUCCUCAAUCUCAAGUAAUAUCUACAACACCCUCUUGAAAUUUUCCCACAACUCCUCCGGUUGGGGCACCCCAGGCCCGACUCGCCUUCCUCUCGACCCUUCUCAACACCCUCUUUGGGCCCUGACGUCCCAAGCUUACAAAUUCCUCAAUGCAACUAAACCCAAUCUUACCCAAUCCUGCUGGCUGUGCUAUGACAUCCGGCCCCCCUUCUAUGAAGGAAUUGCAAAAACGGGUCAAUAUGACACAACCACGGACCCUAAUGCUUGCAGGUGGAACCCAAAGCCUGGUAGUAAAGGCCUCACCUUACAAUCCGUGUCAGGCCAGGGGCUCUGCAUAGGCCCUCCUCCACGCCACUACCAGAUUCUGUGCAACGUUACACAGCCCGUAAACAGUACCGGGUGUCAUCUACCGCCCCAAGACAGCUGGUGGGCCUGUUCCGAGGGAUGGACUCCCUGUGCUCAUGGACACGUUAUAAACAGAACUGGGGGCUUCUGUGUGCUAGUACAGCUACUCCCUAAAAUUAUCACUCAGAUGAGCAGGUACUUCAGUGGUUCGAUGUGGGUACCCACAGACGGGAUAAAAGAGAACCCAUCUCGGCUAUCACCAUCGCUGUGCCAGUAGGAUUAGGAUUAACAGGCGCAGGGACAGGUGUCGCUUCACGGACUAUGCAGUCCCACUGUAAAGGUCUGCGAGCAGCAAUCGAUCGGGAUAUAGAGCGAGUCUAUUUCUCACCUCCAAGACUCCCUAACAUCCUUGUCUGAAGUUGUCCUUCAAAACAGAAGGGGAUUAGGUUUGUUUUUUUUUUUUUUUUUUUUACAACCGGGGGGGUUAUGUGUGCCCUAAACAAAGAAUGUUGCUUCUUUACUGACCACUUGGGAAUAGUCCGAGAAUCUAUGGCAAAGCUCAGAGAAGGUUUAGCUAGACGAAAAUGGGAACGAGAACAACAAGGAAGGUUCGAAUCCCGGUACCAUCAUUCCCCCUGGCUGACUACCGUGUUAUCCUCCCUGGCCGCCCACUCGUCACCCUCCUCCUCCUGACCUUCGGACCCUGCCUCAUUGAUGGAGCAGUAGCUUUUGUCAAGGACUGAGUCAAUACAGUCCAACUCAUGGUAUUCAGGCAACAAUGCCAACCACUGCCUCUUUCUACAGAAACCCAGAACCCAUGAUUGGGUCCUGCAUAGGAUCCUCUGAAAAAGGGGGGGAAUGUGGGACCCAGGAAAUUCAACAAAAAUCCCCUACCCCUGGACAAGCAGAACAGGACUAACUCCAUUUUGUGCUGCACCCGCCACCUUCUGUAUGACCCCCACAUGACCUGCUUAGUGCUCAGGGUGCUCCCCGCCCUAGUCAGGCCACUGAGCACACCCUUAACAGAAACUGGCUCAUAACAACGUAACCCUGCCUUGUGCCCACCAAAACCGCGCCAAUUCUGACGAGGGCGAUAGGCCAGUUCAAAUGGUCACUAUAGGGGUGGAUUGUGAUUCCACUGGCCACCUGCGUGUGGACCGACAUGACUGUGCAACUUUCUGUGUGUGUUACAAUCCCAUUGGCCACCGGUCCCUAUAAAGCUGUGCCGCCUCUUAGCCUCGGGGUCCAAGCCCCUGCUCCGCUGUGUGCAGUACACUCGGACCCAAGCCUGAGCUUGUAAAUAAACCCUCGUGUACUUGCA